rnacentral:rRNA from 1 species
UACGGGGGGGGGGCAAGCGUUUGUUCGGAAUUACUGGGCGUAAAGGGUUCGUAGGUGGCCAACUAAGUCAGACGUGAAAUCCCUCGGCUCAACCGGGGAACUGCGUCUGAUACUGGUUGGCUUGAGUGCAGGAGAGGAACGCGGAAUUCCAGGUGUAGCGGUGAAAUGCGUAGAGAUGUGGAGGAACACCAGUGGCGAAGGCGACUCUUUGGCCUGUAACUGACACUGAGGCGCGAAAGCGUGGGGAGCAAACAGG